UUCUUAAAACAUUUGUUCAUAGAUACUCCAUUUCACAUCCCCGAGCCUGUAAUCAUGACUUUGACCUGAACUUGAUUCUCAGCAGUAAAUGUUUUAACCCGUUAAGUCGCAUCGAUCUCCACAUGACAACAUCUCCGUUUUCAACCUCAGGAGGGUUUGGAGUCGGGUGAACCGGGGACGGACGACGGGCGUUUUUAUUUCCACCUGGGUGACGCCCUGCAGAGGGUUGGAGACAAAAGCGCGUAUUACUGGUACGAGUUGGGUCACAAACGCGGCCACUUUGCGUCCGUGUGGCAGAGAUCUCUGUACAACGUGAACGGGCUGAAGGCUCAGCCCUGGUGGACCCCGAAAGAGACCGGGUACACCGACCUGGUCAAGAUGUUGGAGAGGAACUGGAAGACGAUCAGGGACGAAGCUCUGGCUGUGAUGGACCAAAACACGGGACUGUUCAUACCUGAGGAGGAAAACCUGAGAGAGAAAGGAGAGUGGGGCCAGUACACCGUCUGGCAACAGGGUA